AUUGAACGCUGGCGGCAGGCCUAACACAUGCAAGUCGAACGAGUGGCGGACGGGAGAGUAAUGUCGGGGAAUCCGCCUGAGGGAGGGGGAUAACUACUGGAAACGGUAGCUAAUACCGCAUACCCUCAGAUGUGCCCAGAUGGGAUUAGCUUGUUGGUGGGGUAACGGCUCACCAAGGCGACGAUCCCUAGCUGGUCUGAGAGGAUGACCAGCCACACUGGAACUGAGACACGGUCCAGACUCCUACGGGAGGCAGCAGUGGGGAAUAUUGCACAAUGGGCGCAAGCCUGAUGCAGCCAUGCCGCGUGUAUGAAGAAGGCCUUCGGGUUGUAAAGUACUUUCAGCGGGGAGGCGUUACCCGCAGAAGAAGCACCGGCUAACUCCGUGCCAGCAGCCGCGGUAAUAC
rnacentral:rRNA from 1 species